rnacentral:rRNA from 1 species
AUACGUCACGAAAGGCCAGUUACUACCUCUUCAUCAUUCCUUCUUCAUCUCAAACAACAGAGCUUUACGAUGCCGAAAACCCUUCUUCACUCACGCGGCUGUUGCUCCAUCAGACUUGCGCCCAUUGUGGAAGAUUCCCUACUGCUGCCUCCCGUAGGAGUCCCCCCGUGCCCCCGCCCCGCCCGCCGCGCGCGGCGGGCGAGGCGGGGGCACGGGGGGACUCUUACGGGAGGCAGCAGUAGGGAAUCUUCCGAAUGGACGCAAGUCUGCUGGGGCUACACAGCGUGUU